UGAGCAACCUGCCCUUGACCCUGGAAUAACAGCUGGAAACAGCUGCUAAUACCGGAUACGACCUCCGAUGGCAUCAUCUGGAGGUGGAAAGCUCCGACGGUCAAGGAUGGGCUCGCGGCCUAUCAGCUUGUUGGUGAGGUAACGGCUCACCAAGGCUUCGACGGGUAGCCGGCCUGAGAGGGCGACCGGCCACACUGGGACUGAGAUACGGCCCAGACUCCGUAGGAGG
rnacentral:rRNA from 1 species